UGAGUAUCAAUUGGUAAAUUUAUUUUUAAUAUUAAAUCUCUCCACUCUCUAUUUGACAUUUUUAUCAUAAAACCUACUAAAUCAAAACUAAUACACUUUUUUUUCUAAUCCACUUUUUUUUUUCUAUUAUACGGUAUAAAAUAAGUUUAGAUAAUAAAGGUUUUAUUAUAUUAUAAUGAGAAAUAACAAAGAUCUCAAAAGGUCUAAUAUAAUAUCCAUAAUAGAAUACCACUCACUAUUCUAACCUCAAGAUAUUAAUAAAGUGCCACUUAAAUACUUCUCCUUCCUCUCAAAUCAAACAUUAUCUUAGUUGUAACUAAUUAUUAUUUUGAUAUAAUAAAUAAUAAUUAAUAAUUUAAAAAGUAAUAUAAUCAAUAGAAUUAAUUAUUUGACUUUACUAUCGUAUAUUAUUUAUGGAAUGAUGAGUAAAAUCAGGUCGUUGAUAAAAUAAAGUAAAGUAUAUAUAUGAGACAAACAAAUUUAGAUAUCCAAUAAUUAAUCUAAUUAUUUCUAUGAAUACCCGUUUAUUAUUCGGAUCACAAAUAAACCUAAUGUUAUAUUUUUAUGCAAUUUUAUAUUUUUAUGCGUAUACUUUUCUACUAUCCCAAUUUUAAUAUUUACAAAAAUUUAAAAGAGAAAAUGGAAUACAAGUUAGGUGUUUUCAUGGAAACAUUAAAAUUGAAGAGUACGGUAUUUUUGCUAGGUUCUUAAAAUUUAAUAUUGGUGAGGUUUCAGUUUAAUGAUUUGAAUUGAAAGAUAAUAUUGCUUAGGUUGUCUGUUUUUUGUUGUAUCUAUUCACAGUUGGCAUAUUGAGUAUCAAUUGGUAAAUUUAUUUUUAAUAUUAAAUCUCUUCACUCUCUAUUUGACAUUUUUAUCAUAAAACCUACGAAGUCAAAACUAAUGCACAUUUUUUUUUCUAAUGCACUUUUUUUUCUAUUGUACUGUAUAAAAUAAAUUUAGAUAAUAGAAAUUUUAUUAUAUUAUAAUGAGAAAUAACAAAGAUUUCUAAAGUUCUAAUAUAAUAUCCAUAAUAGAAUACCACUCACUAUUCUAACCUCAAGAUAUUAAUAAAGUGUCACUUAAAUACUUCUCCUUCCUCUCAAAUCAAACAUUACCUUAGUUGUAA
rnacentral:lncRNA from 1 species